UUUUCUUGUGGAAUCAUUUCCAAAAUGAGAAAAAUUGCUAAAUAAUAAUUUGAAAGUGUUUAUCCUGGGUUUCUUUAGUACAUGGAAAAUAUUUAUUGAUGGGUUUAUAGAACAAUUUAACUUCUUGUCUAGUCAUAAAUGUGUGACUAGUCACUUUUGGCAGAUGCUAUAAUGUGUAUGUAUAUGUUCUUUAUGUUUCCUUAUUGGCAGAAUGGAAGGUUUUGAAAGAGAAUGAUGAAUGAAUAAAGAACAACCAUGCUUUCAGGUGAGAACAACUUAUGGAUUCAAGCGAUGAAGGGACAGAAGUACAGACACAUAUGGAGGCACAUAAAAUACUGUGUGAAUUUUGAUAGAAUAAAUGGACCCAGAAAGUGAAAAGUGUUUUCACAGCCCUAUUAUUGCACUAUGUUGAGGGCUUGGGUUUUGAGAGGAAAUUUAAGGUGAGGUACAUGUCGCUGUGCUUUGUUUUAGCAUUUAGCAUAAUCCCAUAAAUCCUGGAGCUAGAAUUUUGAGAACACUAGGUACACGUUAAACCCAAGAGAUCUGGCAAUUGCAGACACAACAUACUCUCUGUUAAAGAGAAAUAUCUGUAGUUUUUCUUUAAUCUAAAAUAACUUCCAACCUGAUGGAAGUUCCAUCUCUGUAUGUAUGGGGAUUAAAGAUACAAAUGUACACCGGAAUUUUCCCUUACAUUUGUAAAAAAUGCUGGAAUGAAUUUAAGGAUAAAGCCUACAUAAUAGAAAAAAAAAUGUCCUUGUACUUAUACAGGGUUUUUGUGCAUGCACCGGCAGUGUCAUGAUUGACAGGUACAUCACUUUUCUGAACACGAAAAUGCAUAAAAAUCUUACUCUUGAUGAGUAAAGGGGUAACCAUUCCCUUUUUACUAGAUUGAAAAAGCUGAAGAAGAUGGAUUCUGCAGAAUUUGCUCUUAUUUUUGUUAAAUCACGAGUAUUUUUGGCUCUCAGUUAAUAUUUCUCAAGACAUAUGCAAUAGGACGUAGAUAUGCAUACACACAAGCCCACUUAAAUUCCCAGUUCUAUACUGAGCAGCAGAUUUAACUGAUAAUUUUCAGCUAUCACUGCUGUUUAUUUCAUUAGAAGAAAGUCACCCAGGGUGACAUUGUCACCCUUGCACCAUGGCUUUAGGACUGAUUCAGAGCAAAGGCUGCCAUCUGCUUCUUCCAUGCUAUUAUUCUGCGCAGUACCUAAAAUUUUCCUUGGAGGCUGCUCUAUCUAAGUCUGCUUUGUGUAGCUUACAUAGUCAGAUGUUUUUGAAGACAGGAUGGAUAUAGUUACAGAUGGCAAGAACUGCACCUCUAAGAGAGGAAUUCCCCAUGCUUUUCCAGACCUGUAGUUAAACGUGUGCUAUAGUAUACAAGUUAGCAUGCUACUGUAAAUAUAAAUAUACAGCAGAUGGGAAAAGAGAGAGAAUCAUUUUGGGUAAUACGUUUAUAUAAUUUGGAAACGUGAAGAGCACAUCUGGAACAGAUGAACAGCAAUCAGGAAGUUAUUACAGGGGAAAAAGGGAGAGAACGUUACUAUCAAUUGCGUUAAAUGAGUUUUUCAAACAACCAAAGUUAUGGCCCUCUGAGCCUGGGGAAGAGGUUUGUUCAAAGCACCGGGGAAGGUGGAAUGAGCCCAAGCCAAAGAAUCUGCUUGGAUCAAGAUUCUGCUUGGUGAAUGUAACAAAAAGGUCAUUCACGAACCACUGCAUUCCAAAUGCAGAUGGAUUUGUGGGUUACAUUUUCUGGAAACCUCAAAAACAAUGUGAAUGAAAUACAGCUUAUUUUUGGAGAAAGGAACUGGGAAAGAAGGACAUAGACAUAUAUAUAUAUGUUGUGAGAAUGUUAUGUAAAAUCUUUCCCACCAUCUAGACACAUAUUUCUGUGUAUUUUGAUUCUUUUGUUUGAAAUACUCUGGUUUAUUGUUAUUUGAAAAGUCUGUUUGCUUCAUUUGGAUAUGUAUUUUAUGGAUUGUUUAUUGGAUAUUUAAUCCCUUUGGAGUAAAAAGGGAAGGUGAAGUUUCCUGACAUUAGUGGCCAAGUGAAGCAACAAAUUUAAAAAGCAAAACUAUUGUGAUGCUGACUGCAAAUACCAUAGCUAAGGCUCAGCUCAGAUGACAGCCUCAGAGGUUUGCAAAACAACAGCAACAAAAUGUUUUGGCCACCUUCUUUUGCAGAUAAAAUCCAGACUCUUCUAUUACAGUUACUUAAUUUGUUGGCCUGUACCUUAAUUGAAUGAAAUGAAAACACAAGCAGCUGGGUUAGUGUCUGCAAUUCAAAUAUCAGAUCUCAAAGGUAAAUUUGAUGACUGUUGAUCACAAACAUAUACAGAAAUGUUAUUCUUUCAGAAUACCUUUUGAUUUCAGAAUAUUAAAAAGAAUACAAACAGCAAAGAGCCAGUUUUCAAAGGAAAGAAAACUGAAAUAGCACCUUAGAGCAUCAGUCCAGGCAAAGUGUCAAAGCAAACAUUUUAAAAGAUGGUGAUAAUGCACAAUAAGAAAAAGCUAUUCACUCAGAAAAUAUCUAUUUAUGUUGUCUGAGGCUCUGAGGAAAGAAGCAGGUGAUCAUAAAAAGAUGUACAUUGUAAUGUAUAAGCAGAAGAUGGCUGAGUUAAGGCUGAAAGGACAUUCAAAUUCUGGCAUUUCAUGUAUUAUAUGCCCCUGAUUUUAUGACCAUAACAUUUAACAGAGGAAUUUUUCUACUAAAAAAGCAAAUGAAGUCCUUCUAUUCCAUCCUUCCUUAUUUCCCAUUGAAAUGCUAUCCAGUGCAUAUAGAUCUGAAGCACAGAAAUGCAAAAGAGCAAAGCCACAGCUGGAAGGAGGAGGAAACAGAUGGUUUUUUCCCACUUAGGAAAAUUGUCCCAAUUAAAAGAAAGUAUUCACCAUAAAUAGGGCUUAGAAGUUGAAAUGUCACAGUUUUCAUAGACUGAAAGUUAAAUGCAUGAUUCCUAUUCAAUUGAAGCAGCUUUCUAUAUAAUUUUGAAAUGUUUCAUUUUAUUUCAGAUCAUUUUAGUCUCUCAAUCACAGUAAGCUUGAAUUUUCAAAUCAAAACCUGUUACAUGCCAUAAACCCAAGAUUUUCAAUUUUGAAAAGGUCAGUGUGGGCAUAUACCAUUUUGAAGUUUUUUUCCCCAAACUUGUUACUUUGUUAGAACCCUCUGAAUGCAAGUCCUGUUCCUGUGAAAGAUAUUCAAUCUCAAAAAUUGGCCUUUGCCAAGAAAACAAAACAGCAAUGUCCAACUAGGUCCUUCACAUUCGUGGCAUUGACCUCUUCUGUAUCUGCUGGUAUGUACCAUUGUCUGCUUUGUGGUUUUCUUAUCUCCAAGACCUGUUCUUAUGUGGAUUUCAAAGCUAUUGCUGAGAGUGCAGUGCUGCUGAGGGGUUGUGUAGUCACAAAGGCUCUGCUUUUGCCUCUUUAAGCCUGAACUCUUCAAUCCCAAAUUCCUCCAGUAACCUUCCUCUCUUUACCUUUUCUUUACCUUCCAGGCCAUCUAAGGUAUCACAGCUUUCAUAGUCUAAUUGCAUUACUGCUUUUUUCCUCCUCUCUUCAUGGGAUUCAGGGACAGAAUCCCUGUAGUAGGUUUCCUGGCAAAAUCUUAUGAGAAAUAAAAAUACGGGUUUUAUUACAAACAAAAUUAUAGGCGCAUCGCAAAGUUGUAAGGUAUCCAGUUCCCAGUUGGACCAGAUACCAGGGUUCUUUUGCAAUCGGGAUAAGGGAAAUAUAAAAUUCCUAAAAAUUAAAA